CCGCACGGGUGAGUAACACGUAUGCAACCUGCCUGCCACAGCCGGAUAAUCGGGAGAAAUUCCGUCUAAUACGGCAUAAUGCAUCGACGGGACAUCCUGUUGGUGCCAAAGGUUGAUUCCGGUGGCGGAUGGGCAUGCGUCGCAUUAGUUAGUUGGCGGUGUAACGGACCACCAAGACGACGAUGCGUAGGGGUUCUGAGAGGAAGGUCCCCCACACUGGUACUGAGACACGGACCAGACUCCUACGGGAGGCAGCAG
rnacentral:rRNA from 1 species